GACGAACGCUGGCGGCGUGCUUAACACAUGCAAGUCGAACGGGUCUGCCCUGUUUUUUGCGGGGUGGGUCAGUGGCGAACGGGUGAGUAACACGUGAGUAACCUGCCCCUCACUUCUGGAUAACCGCUUGAAAGGGUGGCUAAUACGGGGUGUUCUGGCUGUGCCGCAUGGUGUGGCUGGGAAAGAUUCACUUUUGUGGUGUUUUGGUGGGGGUGGGGCUCGCGGCCUAUCAGCUUGUUGGUGGGGUGAUGGCCUGCCAAGGCUUUGACGGGUAGCCGGCCUGAGAGGGUGGGCGGUCACACUGGGACUGAGAUACGGCCCAGACUCCUGCGGGAGGCAGCAGUGGGGGGUAUUGCACAAUGGGCGGAAGCCUGAUGCAGCGACGUCGCGUGAGGGAUGGAGGCCUUCGGGUUGUGAACCUCUUUCGCCGGUGAAGAAGGUCCUGCUCUUUGUGGUGGGGUUGACGGUAGCCGGGUUAUGAAGCGCCGGCUAACUACGUG
rnacentral:rRNA from 1 species